AAAGCUUUAAGUCGGUGUAUGUGUCACAGUGGGAAAGCACUCCAGAAAGGUUUGUGUAUUAAUUGAGUCAGGGAAGGAAGUGCACGUGUAGAAUGGAAGCAGUGAGCAGGCAUCACUUAUACGAGUGUGACUUCUGUUUCUAGACGGAUGUCUUGAAAAUGCAGCAUUACUGAGUUCCUGCACACUGUUGUGCUGUGAUACUGAAGACUGUGGGGGGGGUGUCACCCACUCUUGUUAGCAUGUGUAUCUUGCAAACCAGCUGUUAGGAUCCCUGCAGGAACACUCAUUGCCCUUCACUGGCUGUUGUGCACCAGGCUGCUGCUCAUAGCCUCACAGAGCUCCCAGACCUGCAGUGAAAGAGCAAGGAAGGGCUAAGUGAAGAUUAAAUGGCCAAUCUUGGGUAGUUAUGGUAAAGCACACUUCAGAUACUGUUUUGUGGUAACAUAAUUCAUUGUCUGUAUCCAAGUCAUAAUGCCUGUGAAUAUCCUGAGAGAACUCUACAAAUACGUUGAACCUGAGGUAAGAGUCUGUUGAAACACUAGCUAACAAAUUCAUAGUGAAAUAACAGAAAUUAUACGAUCCUUGUGAGCACAUGUAAAAUUGCAUUCCUCCUUCCCCUGUCAAAGAUGUUUCCAGUUAGCAGGCAUUUAAGCAUUCAGACAGAGCAGAACCUGAAAGCCAGUGCUCUUCAAUCCUGGUGAAUCGUGUGGCUGCCACAUGCUUUAGUGACCUGAUUUUGGAAUAUCUCAGAAGAAAAAGAAAAGGGCUGUUCAAAAGGCCUGCGCUCUGAAGUGGGUGCAUGGAUGCCCAAGAUCCAUCUUCAACGGAAUAUCACUCAGUCAUAAUACAGUGUCCCACAGGAAAUUGCUCAUCGAGGGUGUGUGGGCCAAGCAGCACACUGGUGGAGAAAAAAGGAGAGACACCUGAGACAGUAGCUGCUCUGCAGCAGAGAAGAUAGCCUGACUGUUUGGGGUUUUUUUUUUUAUCUCUUGCAAUAAGUUGGACUGUGUUCUUGACAUUCACCUACAGAAUGUAUUUUGGGAGACACUGUGACACACAGGAGUGGUGGCUUAGUGGGAUCACGGGGGGGGGGGGG